CCUACGGACUUUUUUUUUUCGGGUGAACUUGCGGAGGGAUCAUUACACAAAUAUGAAGGNGGGCGGGAACCAAUNGGGGUUAAAAGCCUUGCUGAAUUAUUCACCCUUGUUUUUUGAGUANUUCUUGUUUCCUUGGUGGGUUNGCCCACCACUAGGACAAACAUAAACCUUUUGUAAUUGCAAUCAGCGUCAGUAACAAAUUAAUAAUUACAACUUUCAAAAACGGAUCUGUUGGUUCUGGCAUCGAUGAAGAACGCACCGAAAAGCGAUAAGGAGUGUGAAUUGCAGAAUUCAUUGAAUCAUCGAAUCUUUGAACGCACACUGCCCCCUUUGGUAUUCCAAAGGGCAUGCCUGUUCGAGCGUCAAUUGAACCCUCAAGCUUUGCUUGGUGUUGGGCGUCUUGUCUCUAGCUAUGCUGGAGACUCGACUUAAAGUAAUUGGCAGCCGGCCUACUGGUUUCACCCACNCAACACAAGUCGCACUCUCUAUCAGCAAAGGUCUAAUAACCAUUAAGCCUUUUUUUCAACUUUUGACCCCGGAUCACGUAGGGAUACCCGCUGAACUCAACCAUAUCAAUAAGCGGAAGAAAAGUCCGU
rnacentral:rRNA from 1 species